UAUGAGCGUGGCGAUCAAAUUGGGGGCCUAAUGAAGUAUGGUGUGCCAAACAUGAAGACUGACAAAGUGGAUGUAGUUCAACGGCGAGUUAACUUGAUGGCUUAGGAAGGUGUCAAUUUUGUGGUGAAUGCCAGCGUUGGGAAGGAUUCAUCAUACUCUCUUGAUAGGCUCCAAAAGGAAAAUGAUGCUAUUGUUUUAGCUGUUGGCGCCACAAAACCAAGGGACCUUCCUGUACCUGGACACGAAUUGUCAGGUGUUCAUUUUGCCAUGGAGUUCCUUCAUGCAAACACAAAGAGCUUGCUUGACAGCAAUCUCAAGGAUGGUAACUACAUAUCUGCAAAGGGAAGAAGGUAGUGGUCAUUGGUGGAGGUGACACUGGCACGGAUUGCAUAGGAACAUCUAUCAGGCAUGGCUGCUGUAGAAUUGUAAACUUGGAGUUGCUUUCUAAGCCACUGGAGAAGAGGGCUCCAGGCAACCCUUAGCCACAGGUACAAAUAUUACAUAAGUUACCUUUUCUCUUGACAACCACAGGAGUACUCUUGCUUAUUCCAUUAUCGUUUAUUUUAUAGCAUGCGCAGUGUAAUAUUUGCUCACCGUUCUUUUCCUCUGUUCAAUGCUGUUUAUAGUGGCCUCGCAUCUACCAUGUUGAUUAUGGCCACCAGGAAGCUGCAGCUAAGUUUGGGAAAGACCCAAGGUCUUAUGAAGUGCUAACUAAGCAGUUUAUUGGUGAUGAAAAUGGGGUCGUUAAAGGGCUUGAAGUAGUGCGUGUUAGGUGGGAGAAGGAUGCUAGUGGGAAGUUUCAGUUCAAAGAAAUUGAGGAUCUGAGGAAAUCAUUGAGGCUGAUCUGGUUUUACUGGCCAUGGGAUUCCUUGGUCCAGAAUCGACUAUUGUAGACAAGUUGGGUCUAGAGAGAGAUGGCAGGUCAAACUUCAAGGCUGACUAUGGCCGGUUUGCGACCAAUGUGGAGGGAGUUUU